AGUGAACGCUGGCGGUAGGCCUAACACAUGCAAGUCGAACGGCAGCACAGUAAGAGCUUGCUCUUACGGGUGGCGAGUGGCGGACGGGUGAGGAAUACAUCGGAAUCUACUUUUUCGUGGGGGAUAACGUAGGGAAACUUACGCUAAUACCGCAUACGACCUACGGGUGAAAGCAGGGGAUCUUCGGACCUUGCGCGAUUGAAUGAGCCGAUGUCGGAUUAGCUAGUUGGCGGGGUAAAGGCCCACCAAGUCGACGAUCCGUAGCUGGUCUGAGAGGAUGAUCAGCCACACUGGAACUGAGACACGGUCCAGACUCCUACGGGAGGCAGCAGUGGGGAAUAUUGGACAAUGGGCGCAAGCCUGAUCCAGCCAUACCGCGUGGGUGGAGAAGGCCUUCGGGUUGUAAAGCCCUUUUGUUGGGAAAGAAAAGCAGCAGGUUAAUACCCCGCUGUUCUGACGGUACCCAAAGAAUAAGCACCGGCUAACUUCGUG
rnacentral:rRNA from 1 species